UCCUUUGUUUCCUUGUUUGCCUGGUCUGGCCUUACUCUUUUCCAGGGCUUCCUCCCCUCCCCCGGCGCUGAGGCUGAGUGAGACUACACACCUGCUCCACAUCUCCAAUCGAGGCACUUUAAGAAGCCUGCAGCCCUCAGUCUCAGCGCCUGAGUAUUGUCUACCCUUCCUAGCGGUAAAUACGCGUCUCCUGGCCAAAACCUCGUUUGUAUCAUCAUCAGAACUUUGCUCCUCGUGAUUUUCUGCUUGUUCAAUAACUUCUAUCUCCUCUGGUUUUUCCUGCAGUGUCUCCAGCCCACACGACAGCCAGCCAACCAGCCCACCGGACAUCCUCGUUUGCAUCUACUACCUUUUGUUUGGACAUUAAAAUUCACUCAAGGCUACCUUGCUAGGUUGAACUUGCUUCGUAGAAAAGCCCCAGGAGAAGGUCUCACACUGCUUAUAAACAGAAGUGCAAAUAAAAGGCUAAUUUGGCCUAAUAG